UACGAAGGUCCCAAGCGUUGUUCGGAAUCACUGGGCGUAAAGGGAGCGUAGGCGGCGUGGUAAGUCAGAUGUGAAAUCCCGGGGCUCAACCCCGGAACUGCAUCCGAUACUGCCGUGCUUGAGGGUUGGAGAGGUAGCUGGAAUUAUCGGUGUAGCAGUGAAAUGCGUGGAUAUCGAUAGGAACACUCGUGGCGAAGGCGAGCUACUGGACAGCAUCUGACGCUGAGGCUCGAAGGCUAGGGGAGCAAAAGGG
rnacentral:rRNA from 1 species